AAAGCUAUCACGCGCACCACACUCGCUCUCACUUCUCCCCAAACCCCGUCCAAAACCCAGCUCCGCCGCCAUGCUCCGCCGCCGCCUCCUCCGCUCCCGCCAGCGCCGCUACUCCUCCUCCGCCGCCACCGUGCCCCUCUCCGCACCGACCUUCGCCGUCUUCGGCGCCAACACCGGCGUCGGCAAGACCCUCGUCUCCGCGGGCCUCGCCGCGGCCCUCCUCAGCUCCUCCUCCCCGUCCGUAUCGGCCGUCAGCUACCUCAAGCCGCUUCAGACCGGCUACCCCGCCGACUCCGACGCGCGAUUCGUCUUCGCCAGGACCCCCGCUCUGCUCCGCGGCCGCGCCUCAUCCUCCUCUCCCCGCGCCACACGCCUCGUCGCCUCAUGCCGCACCCUCUUCCCGUCCCCUGCCGUGGGGGCGGAGGCGGCACCCCUCCACGAGAGGCAGCAGAAUGUGGUGGCCUACGGAGGGGAUGGGGCGGAGGAGGAGACGAAGGUGCUAUCGUGCAGGACGGCGUACGCGUGGCGGGAGCCGGUGUCACCGCACCUGGCGGCGGAGAGGGAGGGAAUGGCGGUGGGGGACGAUGAGGUCAGGGGUUGCGUGGAGCAGUGGCUGCUGGAGGAAGACGAGGGGGAGGGUGGGAAGGUGUGGAAGGUCCUGGAGACGGCUGGGGGCGUCGCUAGCCCUGGUGCGUCCGGUGCGCUGCAAUGCGACCUCUACCGACCUUUUAGGUUACCUGCUAUUCUUGUUGGAGAUGGCCGUCUAGGUGGCAUUUCAUCCACUUUGUCUGCAUAUGAAACUUUGUUGCUAAGAGGGUAUGAUGUGAGUGCAGUAAUUUUGGAAGACCGUGGCUUAUCAAAUGACAAAUUCUUGCUUUCUUUCUUGAGAAACAGGGUACAUGUGCUUGGCUUGCCACAAAUUCCUGAAGAUCCUUUAGAUGACCUAACUGAUUGGUUUUCUGAGUCAUCCUCAGUAUUUAAUGUUCUCAAGGAUGCCCUGCAAUCAUUUUAUUUGAAUAGAAUUGAGCGGUUAAACAGCAUGCAAAGAAAAUCCAAGGAUUUACUAUGGUGGCCUUUUACUCAGCACAAUCUUGUCCCUCAAGAUUCUGUUACAGUAAUUGAUUCACGUUGUGGUGAGAAUUUUUCUGCAUACAAGAUUAAAGACAACAAGAUGAUGCUUGUCCCUCAAUUUGAUGCAUGUGCAAGUUGGUGGACUCAAGGCCCUGAUUCCAACUUGCAGAUUGAACUUGCAAGAGAUAUGGGUUAUGCUGCUGCAAGAUAUGGUCAUGUGAUGUUUCCGGAGAAUGUUCAUGAGCCUGCUCUUCAUUCUGCGGAAGUUUUGCUUGGAGGAGUUGGCAAAGGUUGGGCUUCUCGAGUCUAUUAUUCAGACAAUGGGUCCACUGCAAUUGAAAUUGCUCUGAAGAUGGCAUUUCGUAAAUUUUCACUUGAUCAUGGAAUUCUAGCGGAUAGUGAAAAGAGUAUCAAGAAAGAAAGGAAUAUUCAGUUGAAGGUCCUUGCUCUAAACGGUUCCUAUCAUGGUGAUACACUGGGCGCUAUGGAAGCUCAAGCUCCAUCAGCCUAUACGUCUUUUCUUCAGCAGCCAUGGUACUCAGGUAGAGGACUUUUUCUAGAUCCUCCAACUGUGUAUAUUAAAAGUGAGAUGUACAACCUUUCUUUGCCCCAGUCAAUGCCGCAUGAUCCACAGACUUCUGGUGAUACAUGUUUUUCUUCACAAGCUGAAGUCUUUUGCAAGAGCAGGGACAAAUCAUCUGCUGCUGAUUUAUAUUUCUCCUAUAUAAAUCAGCAACUAUCAGAAUUUUCUCUAUCAAGCAAUUCAGAGUAUCUCGCAGCACUAAUUAUAGAACCAGUAAUACAAGGUGCUGGGGGAAUGCUCAUGAUAGAUCCCCUUUUCCAGCGAAUACUUGUCAAUGAGUGUAAAAGUCGAAAAAUACCUGUCAUAUUUGAUGAGGUAUUUACAGGAUUCUGGCGUCUUGGUGUGGAGUCUGCUUCAGAGUUACUUGGGUGUUCACCAGAUAUUGCUUGCUAUGCAAAACUGAUGACGGGGGGAAUUAUACCAUUAGCUGCAACCUUAGCUUCAGAGGAAGUUUUUGAAUCCUUCAGAAGUGACUCUAAGCUUACGGCGCUCUUACAUGGUCAUUCCUAUACUGCUCAUCCCAUGGGUUGUGCUGCAGCACUAAAAGCUAUCCAGUGGUACCGGGAUCCAUCCACCAAUUUGAACAUUGAUGCUAAUCAUAUGAAGCUAAAGGAGCUAUGGGACAAUGCACUUGUGAAGCAAUUAUCAUCACUACCGAAUGUGAAAAGAGUGGUCUCAAUAGGAACUCUCUGUGCAAUUGAGCUCAAGGCUGAGGGAUCGGAUGCUGGGUAUAUCUCUUAUGAGUCUUUAUAGUAAAAGCUUAACUGAUGAUUUUUUGGUAUUUUUUCUUUGCAUAACACAACUUUUUCAAAGAUAAUUCAAUGAUGGUCAGUUUGCCAUUGUUUUUCUGUGCUGAGUUUUGUUAUGGUCAUUUAGAAUUUUCUCUAGAGAAUAUUUUCUGAUAUAAAAAGGGCGGCCUGGUGCAAGUGGUAGUGCUUGCCGCCUGUGAACCGAGAGGUCACAGGUUCGAGCGGUGGUCUCUACACAUUGCACGGUGUGUGAGAAAGACCUCCCGCUAAUAACCUCUCCCAGAUCCCGCACAGUGCGGGAGCCUACGGCACUGGGUACGCGUCACUCUAUGCAAGUUCCUUGGUACAGCAACUCCGCAGAGAGGAUGAUAUCUAUGUCAGGCCCCUGGGUAACGUCAUAUACCUCAUGUGUGGCCCGUGCACACCUCGAGAUAGCUGCUCUCGGCAACUCCUCAAAGUACACCGCAGACUCUGCGACUUCAAUAGAGUCCAGUGAGAAUAAUUGCGAGCAGAUGUUUAAGUCUGGACAGCCUUAUGGCAACAGUUUUAGGCCAUCAGUUAACAUGUCUCUCUCUAUGAGCACACGGCUUCCUGCAGACUAUUUUUGGAGCGUAGUGUAGAGAGAUUCAAACCUUCGAUCUUGUGAUAGUAUGCAGAUUUUAUUAUUGAUUCUGAAAUUUGUUCUAUGCAGCGGGUGCAGUUGCUAA